ensembl:lncRNA
ACACAACAUCACCGCCCAGCCACUGAAGGCCUGCAUGAACAACAUCAAGCUCAACAGCAAGUACCCCACCUUCGAGGAAAAAGUGGGCAUCAGCCGGGGCUGUCCCACGGACUUCCUGGCGUCUCGUAAAUCAGAGUUUAACGUGGGGAGUUCUCUGUCAGCUGCUCUCGAAGGCUUCAGCCUGGCAAGGGAUGUCUCAGUCUCACUGGGAUUCAGGAGCUCUGAGAAAAAUGGGCUCCUACUGCAGAACACCGAGUCGAGCGUUGGCGCCAUCGAACUUGCCUUGGUCAACGGCUAUGUGGUCCUGACGUUCAAAGACACAGCUUGGAAAUCUUUGAAAUCAAGCAAGCAGUACCAGGACGGCAAAUGGCAUUACCUGACUGCCACCAGAAGGGUGGCUUCUCAAAGGUAG